rnacentral:pre_miRNA from 1 species
UAUAGUUAAACAUGACGAUGGUUAUGAUGACGCUGAUGGUGAUGAUGGUAGUAGUAAUCAUCAUCAUCAUCAUCAUCACCAUCAUCAUCAUCAUCG